GACGAACGCUGGCGGCGUGCUUAACACAUGCAAGUCGAACGAAGUGGCGAACGGGUGAGUAACGCGUAAUCAACCUGCCCUUCAGAGGGGGACAACAGUUGGAAACGACUGCUAAUACCGCAUACUGAAGGGGGGGAUUGCGUCGGUUUAGCUAGUUGGAGGGGUAACGGCCCACCAAGGCGAUGGGCAGUAGGCGGGCGGGAAGGGUGAACGGGCAAAAUGGGACCGAGACACGGCCCAGACUCCUACGGGAGGCAGCAGUGGGGAAUCUUCCGACAUGGACGAAAGUCUGACGGAGCAACGGCGCGUGAGUGAUGACGGCCUUCGGGUUGUAAAGCUCUGUUAAUCGGGACGCGGUACCGGAAUAGAAAGCCACGGCUAACUACGUGCCAGCAGCCGCGGUAAUAC
rnacentral:rRNA from 1 species